rnacentral:rRNA from 1 species
UACGUAGGGGGCAAGCGUUGUCCGGAAUCAUUGGGCGUAAAGAGCGCGUAGGCGGUCCGGUAAGUCAGCUGUGAAAGUCAGGGGCUCAACCCUUGAAAGCCGGUUGAUACUGUCGGGCUAGAGUCCGGAAGAGGCGAGUGGAAUUCCUGGUGUAGCGGUGAAAUGCGCAGAUAUCAGGAGGAACACCUAUUGCGAAGGCAGCUCGCUGGGACGUUACUGACGCUGAGACGCGAAAGCGUGGGGAGCAAACAGG